rnacentral:rRNA from 1 species
GAUGAACGCUGGCGGCGUGCCUAAUACAUGCAAGUCGAGCGAACGGACGAGAAGCUUGCUCCUCUGAUGUUAGCGGCGGACGGGUGAGUAACACGUGCAUAACCUACCUAUAAGACUGGGAUAACUUCGGGAAACCGGAGCUAAUACUGGAUAAUAUUUUGAACCGCAUGGUUCAAAAGUGAAAGACGGUUUUGCUGUCACUUAUAGAUGGUUCCGCGCUGCAUUAGCUAGUUGGUAAGGUAACGGCCUACCAAGGCAACGAUGCAUAGCCGACCUGAGAGGAUGAUCGGCCACACUGGAACUGAGACACGGUCCAGACUCCUACGGGAGGCAGCAGUAGGGAAUCUUCCGCAAUGGGCGAAAGCCUGACGGAGCAACGCCGCGUGAGUGAUGAAGGUCUUCGGAUCGUAAAACUCUGUUAUUAGGGAAGAACAUAUGUGUAAGAAACUGUGCACAUCUUGACGGUACCUAAUCAGAAAGCCACGGCUAACUACGUG